UACGUAGGCAGCAAGCGUUGUUCGGAAUUACUGGGCGUAAAGAGUGUGUAGGCGGUGCUCUAAGUUUGGUGUGAAAUCUCCCGGCUCAACUAGGAGGGUGCGCCGAAAACUGGAAUGCUUGAACAUGGGAGAGGAAAGCGGAAUUCCUGGUGUAGCGGUGAAAUGCGUAGAUAUCAGGAGGAACACCUGCGGUGUAGACGGCUUUCUGGACCAUUGUUGACGCUGAGACACGAAAGCGUGGGUAGCAAACAGG
rnacentral:rRNA from 1 species